UGGUGAUGGUGGUCGUGAUCAUGACCAUGAUCAUGGUGGUGGCCAUGAUGAUCGUGAUGAUGGUGACCGUGGUCAUGAUCAUGAUCAUGACCACAA
rnacentral:miRNA from 1 species